rnacentral:rRNA from 1 species
UUGACGUUAGCGGCGGACGGGUGAGUAACACGUGGGUAACCUACCUAUAAGACUGGGAUAACUUCGGGAAACCGGAGCUAAUACCGGAUAACAUUUGGAACCGCAUGGUUCUAAAGUGAAAGAUGGUUUUGCUAUCACUUAUAGAUGGACCCGCGCCGUAUUAGCUAGUUGGUAAGGUAACGGCUUACCAAGGCAACGAUACGUAGCCGACCUGAGAGGGUGAUCGGCCACACUGGAACUGAGACACGGUCCAGACUCCUACGGGAGGCAGCAGUAGGGAAUCUUCCGCAAUGGGCGAAAGCCUGACGGAGCAACGCCGCGUGAGUGAUGAAGGGUUUCGGCUCGUAAAACUCUGUUAUUAGGGAAGAACAAAUGUGUAAGUAACUGUGCACAUCUUGACGGUACCUAAUCAGAAAGCCACGGCUAACUACGUGCCAGCAGCCGCGGUAAUACGUAGGUGGCAAGCGUUAUCCGGAAUUAUUGGGCGUAAAGCGCGCGUAGGCGGUUUCUUAAGUCUGAUGUGAAAGCCCACGGCUCAACCGUGGAGGGUCAUUGGAAACUGGGAAACUUGAGUGCAGAAGAGGAAAGUGGAAUUCCAUGUGUAGCGGUGAAAUGCGCAGAGAUAUGGAGGAACACCAGUGGCGAAGGCGACUUUCUGGUCUGUAACUGACGCUGAUGUGCGAAAGCGUGGGGAUCAAACAGGAUUAGAUACCCUGGUAGUCCACGCCGUAAACGAUGAGUGCUAAGUGUUAAGGGGGUUUCCGCCCCUUAGUGCUGCAGCUAACGCAUUAAGCACUCCGCCUGGGGAGUACGACCGCAAGGUUGAAACUCAAAGGAAUUGACGGGGACCCGCACAAGCGGUGGAGCAUGUGGUUUAAUUCGAAGCAACGCGAAGAACCUUACCAAAUCUUGACAUCCUUUGAAAACUCUAGAGAUAGAGCCUUCCCCUUCGGGGGACAAAGUGACAGGUGGUGCAUGGUUGUCGUCAGCUCGUGUCGUGAGAUGUUGGGUUAAGUCCCGCAACGAGCGCAACCCUUAAGCUUAGUUGCCAUCAUUAAGUUGGGCACUCUAGGUUGACUGCCGGUGACAAACCGAAGGAAGGGUGGGGAUGACGUCCAAUCAUCAUGGCCCCUUAGGAUUUGGGCUACCAACCUGGCUACAAUGGGACAAUACAAUAGGGCCGACUUAACCGCCGGGGGCCUGCCAA